UUUUUUUUUUUUUUUUUUUUUUGUGGUUCUUUCCUGGAAAUGACAUGCUAAAAUAGAAAUCCUCAACUUAUAAACUGUCCUUCAUUCCACUUCACAGACAAGCUAGUCUCAAAAGCUAUCUACCUAACUGACAGAAACCAACAAACAAAGAAAAGUCAUAUAAAAUAGAAAGGAAUAAAUGUGACAUAAAGUUAAAUUUAUGAGAAAAGGACUGCCUUGGUUGCAGAUAUUGGCAAAGGUAAUUAAAGUAUGUUCCUGCUUAUGAUUCUUAUCCAGAUACAGUCUGUUUCAGCAAUAAACGUUUUUCAUGUUUGACAAGCUAUUUUAGGAGUUAAGAAUGAUUAUGAGGCUCUGUUAAUAGGAAUUACAAUUAAAUAUUUGAAUUCUUUUCCAACACAGCAUUGCCCUGGAACUUCUACCUUCUUUGACAUGAAAUGGUUCUUUUCCAUUUUUUUCCCUUAUUUUUUAAAGGCAGAAAAACUUUUGAAAUCUGUGGGGUUUUCUUUUUUAUUAUUAUUAUGAUUAUUCUUUCCCUAGAGAAGCCAUUCUUUUAAGCAUUUUGUAUUUUCAAACAUAUUAUUUCCUCCAGUGCUUUACAGAUAACCUAUUAUUUGAAUGUCUAAUAGUACUCUGUACCUGGCAAACGGUGGAUCAGAUUAGAAGACAACUUUGGAUUGUAAAAAUAUUCUCCUAAGUUUUGUGUAACAUUCCUUUCAAGUUGAAGGUAAAUAAACAAAUGUGUAACACAGAAAACAUGUCUGCCUCCCAUGAAACUGUCUGUUUUUUCUGCCUUUUUUUACUAGAUUAAUCUUGUUAAAAUUUGCACAAAGAGUUGCUAUAAGCUUUAUUCUCUUCUUCAGAUUGUUUCUUAGAAAGCUACUAAUCUGUACGUGAUUUAAAACUAAGCACCCUUAUUAGUUUAUGGAAAGGCGCUUUUUUUUGUUGCUUUUUUUUUGUUUGUUUUUUUAAAGCAAGGGUUGUUAACAUGAAUUCAGAUGAACUGUACAAAGGCCCCUUUGUGGAAUGAUCUCUUUAGGAAGUAACACUUUACUAAGCUACAGAUAUUAGUUGGAAAGUAUUGUUUCUUGAAAACAUUUCACAUUAGAAUUUCAUAUAGAUUUUUUUUUUACCCCAUGAAUAUGGUGACAUACUACAAUAGCAUCUUAUUUUGGUUUUGAAAUUCUAAAUAAUUUGGUUUAAAUAAUGUGUUUUUUUUUUUUUUGUAACCCUCAUAUUGUAAAAGCCAAAAAAUCAGUUAUCUAAAUCUAAAAUCUUUUAAGAGGUAGGACAUCCAUAUGAAAUAAAUAUCAAAAAGAGGAGAAAAAGACUGUAGAACUUAACUGCAGUACAGUUCUGCACAGAUUUAAUUCACAGGUCUAUUCCCUGCAAGAUUUGAUCUGAGUUCCUUACAAAUUCUGUUAGAGGCUAAUUUCUUUUCUUGAAUUAUUUUAACACUGCUCGAUUUGCUUAAUUAGCAAAAACACCAACAAAAAGUGUGGAGGCAGGGGGUGGAAUUCAUGUUCAAGACUGACUAGAACUUUUUGUAUCCUAGCAGUAGCAGUCACCAGAUGUGUGAGCAUUUCAAUUCCAGCCUAAUGAAUAGGGAUUAACUUCACAAUUUUAUUGAAGUAAAUUCCUACAGUAAAACACUUAAUUGGCACAAUAUUGUUUGAUAUACUUCACUGUGACUUCUUGCCAUCUUAGGUUUAUAAACAUAGCAUUCCUUAGCUUCUUAGGCUGUAUAAUUUUUCAGGAACGUCACAAGUUGUUAAAAUAAUAUCUAACCAUUGUGGAUUGCAUAUUUAAGCUUCUGAAUAAGUUUACUUUCUUAACCUGGAAUAAUAAUGCUAGUUUCAUCAUUUAAGAAGGAAGGAGAAAAAAAAAAAAAAAACUCAGAAAAAUCAGAAGAAACAAAGAGCUGAGUUUAGGGUUUUUUAUAACUUUUUUUUAAAACUACUCAGAAGAGUUUUCAAUUAAAGCAAAAACCCUUCUGUGUGUGUCUCCUUUUGAUGCAGAAUAUGUUUUAGGUCAUUGAAGUUUUCCAGCACUUUGAAGCAUCUGAUCAUACUGAUUACUGCUGAAGAUGUUGGCUAAACAAACUUGCACAACAUAUCACUUUGACAAGAGACAGUGCUAGCCUGCAAUCAAGACCAUAAUGAGUGAUUCAUUUGUUCCCUUCUCCCUGGGCUUACCCGUCAUUACAUGUUCAUUAAGUAAUAAUUGUCAUUGAUCGACAGGCUUGUGUAUGGAUGACGGUAAAAGAAACAGGGCUAUUAAACCUUCACUGGGUAAAACAAGUGCAUGCCACAACCAAUAAGGUACAUUAAUGAGGAGAAUUAAACUAAGGAUAGUUAUAUUAUGGACCACUUCCUUUCUUUUCAUUUUAUUUAUUAUUAAAGUCAAGUGUAUGAUAUCUUAGACUUUCAGAAAUGAAUGUGCAACAACAUAAAACAGAACCAUGGCCCAAUGCUAUGCUUUUCAAGAAUUCUGACCCUCAAGAGUAGCUGGUCAUAACUUAGAAUAAUAGCUAAAUUGGUUUGGAGGCUUUUAGAUAGGUUUUACAAAUAGCGUGUAGAUUAGUUGAAGUAACAAGAUAAGAGUGUAUCACAAAUAAGAUUCAAAGCCAAAUCAGGUUUCUCGUGGAUUGCUUGUGGAAAGUCCCUGAAUAAAUAUUUAAAAGAUCAAAAUGGCUUCUUUCAAUUGGAUGGUGUUAGAAUUAUGAUGCUUCAAAUACAUUUUUUUUAAAUUAUAUAUUCACCUAUAUUAUAUUGAAAAACUUACGUAGGACAAUGUUUUGGAAUCUACCUAUUUGAUCAGCUAACAUCACAUCAGAUGAGACUGCCAAAAACCCUUGUAAAGAGAGAUGUACAUUUAGAAACAAGGUGCAGCUGCUUUCAAAAUGCAUUCAGUUUUAGGUACGCUGGUGUCCGUAAUCCUAUGUAUUGAAACAUUUUUCCCUGAUUUUGAAGUAGGAAUAGCUCUAUUACUUAUUUCAGUAGAUUCUUCAAACUGUAUAUUCAUGUCUAGAUAGAAUUACUGAAUAAUUCCUCUCACAGUGCCUGUAUUUGUUUCUGAUUUAUAGCAUAACAUUUAUUUGUUCAUGUUUCCUUUGACUUCUUUUGCUAUGUUGCAGCUGAUAGGUAGGUAUGUGCUGCUACUGGGCUAAAUGUCAUUAGCUGUCCAGCAAACUUGAUGUGUUUGGAGCAUAGAUUAUGUCUCCUUUUCUUUUGAUUGUGGUCUCAGACCUCCUGCAAUCAAUCUUU
ensembl:lncRNA